GUAUGUAAAUUCAAUCAUUUCACUUUUUAUUGGAUUGAAACAUUUGUCUAAUCUUUUUAUUUUGUUAGGAUUUCCCCUCUUGUUUGUGACAGGAAACAAACAAGAAUUCUGCAUGUCAAGUGUUUGAAGAUAUUUCCGAGAGAUAACCCAUCAACCCAUCAAACCAUCAACCCAAUGCCGUUGAAAAACUUAUGGAACAUUUCUUUUCUCCUUGAGUAGGGGUGGUAGUGAUUUGACAACCACAACCAUUGGUAAAGCUCUGGGGUUGCGAGAAAUUCAGUCAAUUUGAGGAGAAGUUUGAGGUGAUCAAUGGUGAUGAGGCAUCCCCAAGUAUUCCUUUGACAUCAGGGUUUGAUGGAAAUUCAGCUGCACCAAUGGUAACUGAAGAAAGCAGAAAUGACAUUGAAAUGCAGGGUCAAGAAGAUCAUAGACUAUGCUCUGAUAUAAAUGCCUCACAAGACUUUGUGAGUGGGAUCAUGAAGAUUGUCCCAGAAGUUGAUGUGAGUCCUUGAAUUUAACCAAUUAUUAGUUGUUUUGGUUAUGAGGAUAUGCUGAAGUAUCACAUGAAGUAAAGCUGAAGGCUGGUCUGUUUGAUGUGGGCUUGGAGGACAUGAAGAGGGCCAGGCUACAAAAAUGCAGCAAUUCUUUGAGUGGUCCUCAAAAAGGAAAGUUGGUGUUUUUAAU